CGGGUACGGGGACCGUGUCAGGCGGGCAGUUUGACUGGGGCGGUCGCCUCCUAAAGAGUAACGGAGGCGUUCCAAGGUUCCCUCAGAAUGGUUGGAAAUCAUUCGCAGAGUGCAAAGGCAUAAGGGAGCUUGACUGCGAGACCUACAAGUCGAGCAGGGACGAAAGUCGGACUUAGUGAUCCGGUGGUACCGCAUGGAAGGGCCAUCGCUCAACGGAUAAAAGCUACCCUGGGGAUAACAGGCUUAUCUCCCCCAAGAGUCCACAUCGACGGGGAGGUUUGGCACCUCGAUGUCGGCUCAUCGCAUCCUGGGGCUGAAGUAGGUCCCAAGGGUUGGGCUGUUCGCCCAUUAAAGCGGUACGCGAGCUGGGUUCAGAACGUCGUGAGACAGUUCGGUCCCUAUCUGUCGUGGGCGCAGGAAAUUUGAGAGGAGCUGUCCUUAGUACGAGAGGACCGGGAUGGACGUACCGCUGGUGCACCAGUUGUUCCGCCAGGAGCAUGGCUGGGUAGCUACGUACGGACGGGAUAAGCGCUGAAAGCAUCUAAGCGUGAAGCCCCCCUCAAGAUGAGAUUUCCCAAUUAGUAAGACCCCUUGAAGACGACGAGGUAGAUAGGUUGGAGGUGGAAGUGCAGCAAUGCAUGGAGCUGACCAAUACUAAUCGGUCGAGGGCUUAUCCUA
rnacentral:rRNA from 1 species